GCUGGCGACCAGCAGGACCGCGCCGGUGGCAAAGGACACAAAACAGUGUUUUCCUGAACUCUUUACCUGUUGUUUUUCAUCGGUUUUGGUGAUCACCAGAGUACUUGGAGUCCCCUGACGUGGUUAGCAGAACCUCUCAGCUCUGCUCUCACCUGAGCCAUUUGAGAUAAAGCGCUUUUGUGGAGUCAGUUAACGAUGCUGCCCCUGGAAAUCAUAUACCCAGUGGCUCUCCUGGCCCUUGAUGGCUCUGCACAUCCUUGGAGGCCAUUUAGAGCUGCAGCUCUCCUUUGGGAGACCUGAAGGAGGCCCAAGAAGAGUCGCUGCGCUCUCUAGAUUUGCCAAAUGAAGGCUUUGCACUUCUUCUUUCUGAAUCUUUCUGACUUUGUGGUGGGGAAAGAAGAUGAUGAGGCAGGUCCAUCCCACAGCUGGAGGCUUUCUGAGAGCAGCUUGGUGUUGCGGGCAGCACCUUUCAGAGAAGCUGUCUGCUGUUUGCUAGUUCUGGAGCAGAUGCUCUGGAAGUGCCACAUGCUCA
rnacentral:lncRNA from 1 species